CCUACGGGAGGCAGCAGUGAGGAAUAUUGGUCAAUGGGCGAGAGCCUGAACCAGCCAAGUCGCGUGAAGGAUGACGGCUCUAUGGGUUGUAAACUUCUUUUAUAUGGGAAUAAAGUGAGGCACGUGUUCCUUUUUGUAUGUACCAUAUGAAUAAGCAUCGGCUAACUCCGUGCCAGCAGCCGCGGUAAUACGGAGGAUGCGAGCGUUAUCCGGAUUUAUUGGGUUUAAAGGGUGCGUAGGUGGUUAAUUAAGUCAGCAGUGAAAGUUUGUGGCUCAACCAUAAAAUUGCCGUUGAAACUGGUUGACUUGAGUAUAUUUGAGGUAGGCGGAAUGCGUGGUGUAGCGGUGAAAUGCAUAGAUAUCACGAAGAACUCCGAGUGCGAAGGCAGCUUACUAAACUAUAACUGACACUGAAGCACGAAAGCGUGGGUAUCAAACAGGAUUAGAUACCCGAGUAGUC
rnacentral:rRNA from 1 species